CAAUAGCGUAUAUUAAAGUUGUUGCAGUUAAAAAGCUCGUAGUUGGAUUUGUGGCUGUCACGGGCGGCCUAUCACUUAGUGUUAGUGCUUGCCUGUGUCGCCAUCCUUGGGUGGAGCCCGUGUGGCAUUAGGUUGUCGUGCGGGGGAUGCCCAUCGUUUACUGUGAGAAAAUUAGGGUGUUCAAAGCAGGCUUAUGCCGUUGAAUAUGUUAGCAUGGAAUAAUAAGAUAGGACCUCGGUACUAUUUUGUUGGUUUGCGCACCGAGGUAAUGAUUAAUAGGGACAGUUGGGGGUAUUCGUAUUUCAUUGUCAGAGGUGAAAUUCUUGGAUUUCUGAAAGACGAACUACUGCGAAAGCAUUUACCAAGGAUGUUUUCAUUAA
rnacentral:rRNA from 1 species